UGUGAUUCUGUCCUGCGCGACUGUUCCCUGGAACAGUAGUCUUUUAUCUCCGUCCACCUUCUCUCCCACCUAAGUGCAUGCCAUCAACCCAUGGAAGAUUCGAUGGACAUGGACAUGAGCCCUCUGAGGCCCCAGAACUAUCUUUUUCGUUGUGAACUAAAGGCCAACAAAGAUGAUCACUUUAAGGUGGAUAAUGAUGGAAAUGAGCACCAGUUAUCUUCAAGAACGGUCAGUUUAGGGGCUGGCGCAAAGGAUGAAUUGCACGUCAUCAAAGCAGAGGUGAUGAAUUAUGAAGGCAGUCCAAUCAAAGUAACACUGGCAACUUUGAAAAUGUCCGUGCAGCCAACAGUUUCCCUUGGGGGCUUUGAACUAACACCACCUGUGGUCUUACAGUUGAAGUGUGGCUCAGGGCCUGUGCAUAUUAGUGGACAGCACUUAGUAGCUGUGGAGGAAGAUGCAGAGUCAGAAGAUGAAGAGGAGGAGGACGUGGCACUCCUAAGUGAGUCUGGAAAGCGUCUGCCCCUGGAAGUGGUGGCAAGUUUCCACAGAAAAAAGUAAAACUUGUUGCUGAUGAAGAUGAAGGUGAUCAUGAAGAUGACGAUGACCAUGAUGAAGAUGAUGACGACUUUGAUAAUGAGGAAGCUGAAGAAAAAGCUCCAGGAAAAUCAAAAAGUCAAGAAUCCUUCAAAAAACAGGAAAAAACUCCUAAAACACCGAAAGGACCUAGCCCUGUAGAAGACAUUGAAGCAAAAAUGCAAGCAAGUAUAGAAAAAAAGCAUUGAACAAUCCUGGGCACUACUGGUAAAUUAAGCCCAAGGAUGGGGAGAGGGGAAAAGGAGAGACAAAUAUAGUCCAAACUGAGUAUCAUCAACAAUCCAGACUGA